UGGUGAUUGAGUGGCGGACGGGUGAGUAACGCGUGGGUAACCUGCCCUGUACAGGGGGAUAACAGUCAGAAAUGACUGCUAAUACCGCAUAAGACCACAGCACCGCAUGGUGCAGGGGUAAAAACUCCGGUGGUACAGGAUGGACCCGCGUCUGAUUAGCUGGUUGGUGAGGUAACGGCUCACCAAGGCGACGAUCAGUAGCCGGCUUGAGAGAGUGAACGGCCACAUUGGGACUGAGACACGGCCCAAACUCCUACGGGAGGCAGCAGUGGGGAAUAUUGCACAAUGGGGGAAACCCUGAUGCAGCGACGCCGCGUGAGUGAAGAAGUAUUUCGGUAUGUAAAGCUCUAUCAGCAGGGAAGAAAAUGACGGUACCUGACUAAGAAGCCCCGGCUAACUACGUGCCAGCAGCCGCGGUAAUACGUAGGGGGCAAGCGUUAUCCGGAAUUACUGGGUGUAAAGGGUGCGUAGGUGGUAUGGCAAGUCAGAAGUGAAAACCCAGGGCUUAACUCUGGGACUGCUUUUGAAACUGUCAGACUGGAGUGCAGGAGAGGUAAGCGGAAUUCCUAGUGUAGCGGUGAAAUGCGUAGAUAUUAGGAGGAACAUCAGUGGCGAAGGCGGCUUACUG
rnacentral:rRNA from 1 species